UUUCCUGGGAGGAUAGCUCAGUUGGUAGAGCAUUAGACUCUUAAUCUCAGGGUUAUGGGUCCGAGCCUUGCAUUGGGUAAG